GCUACCAUGCAAGUCGAGCGGUAGCACAGAGAGCUUGCUCUCGGGUGACGAGCGGCGGACGGGUGAGUAAUGUCUGGGAAACUGCCUGAUGGAGGGGGAUAACUACUGGAAACGGUAGCUAAUACCGCAUAAUGUCGCAAGACCAAAGUGGGGGACCUUCGGGCCUCAUGCCAUCAGAUGUGCCCAGAUGGGAUUAGCUAGUAGGUGGGGUAACGGCUCACCUAGGCGACGAUCCCUAGCUGGUCUGAGAGGAUGACCAGCCACACUGGAACUGAGACACGGUCCAGACUCCUACGGGAGGCAGCAGUGGGGAAUAUUGCACAAUGGGCGCAAGCCUGAUGCAGCCAUGCCGCGUGUGUGAAGAAGGCCUUCGGGUUGUAAAGCACUUUCAGCGGGGAGGAAGGCGUUAAGGUUAAUAACCUUGGCGAUUGACGUUACCCGCAGAAGAGGCACCGGCUAACUCCGUGCCAGCAGCCGCGGUAAUACGGAGGGUGCAAGCGUUAAUCGGAAUUACUGGGCGUAAAGCGCACGCAGGCGGUCUGUCAAGUCGGAUGUGAAAUCCCCGGGCUCAACCUGGGAACUGCAUUCGAAACUGGCAGGCUAGAGUCUUGUAGAGGGGGGUAGAAUUCCAGGUGUAGCGGUGAAAUGCGUAGAGAUCUGGAGGAAUACCGGUGGCGAAGGCGGCCCCCUGGACAAAGACUGACGCUCAGGUGCGAAAGCGUGGGGAGCAAACAGGAUUAGAUACCCUGGUAGUCCACGCCGUAAACGAUGUCGAUUUGGAGGUUGUGCCCUUGAGGCGUGGCUUCCGGAGCUAACGCG
rnacentral:rRNA from 1 species